rnacentral:tRNA from 1 species
GCUAACGUAGCUUAAUUUAAAGCACAACACUGAAGAUGUUAAGAUGGAUCUUAAAAAAUCUCGUAAGCA